rnacentral:rRNA from 1 species
UACGUAGGGUGCGAGCGUUAAUCGGAAUUACUGGGCGUAAAGCGUGCGCAGGCGGUUCGUUGUGUCGGCGGUGAAAGCCCCGGGCUUAACCUGGGAAUGGCCGUUGAAACUGGCGAACUGGAGUGUGGCAGAGGGGGGUGGAAUUCCGCGUGUAGCAGUGAAAUGCGUAGAUAUGCGGAGGAACACCGAUAGCGAAGGCAAUCCCCUGGACCUGUACUGACGCUCAUGCACGAAAGCGUGGGGAGCAAACAGG